CCUACGGGAGGCAGCAGUGGGGAAUUUUGGACAAUGGGCGCAAGCCUGAUCCAGCCAUGCCGCGUGCGGGAAGAAGGCCUUCGGGUUGUAAACCGCUUUUGUCAGGGAAGAAAAGGUUCUGGCUAAUACCUGGGACUCAUGACGGUACCUGAAGAAUAAGCACCGGCUAACUACGUGCCAGCAGCCGCGGUAAUACGUAGGGUGCAAGCGUUAAUCGGAAUUACUGGGCGUAAAGCGUGCGCAGGCGGUUAUGCAAGACGGAGGUGAAAUCCCCGGGCUCAACCUGGGAACUGCCUUUGUGACUGCAUAGCUAGAGUACGGUAGAGGGGGAUGGAAUUCCGCGUGUAGCAGUGAAAUGCGUAGAUAUGCGGAGGAACACCGAUGGCGAAGGCAAUCCCCUGGACCUGUACUGACGCUCAUGCACGAAAGCGUGGGGAGCAAACAGGAUUAGAUACCCUGGUAGUCCACGACCCUAAACGAUGUCAACUGGUUGUUGGGUAGGGUUCCGUUCUCAGUAACGUAGCUAACGCGUGAGUUGACCGCCGUGGGGAGUACGGCCGCGAAGGUUGAAACGUUAAAGGAAGUUGAGG
rnacentral:rRNA from 1 species